GUCUUCUUGAUUUUAUUGGAAGUCUGGCCUGCCCAGUGAGUAUUUUAACGGCCGCGGUAUUCUGACCGUGCAAAGGUAGCAUAAUCAUUAGCCUUUUAAUAGGAGGCUGGAAUGAAGGGUUUAACGAAGUAAUGACUGUCUCAUUUAAAUUGUUUUAAAAUUUAAUUUUUAAGUUAAAAAGCUUAAAUUUUGUUGGAAGACGAGAAGACCCUUUAGAGCUUUAUGAAUUGUUUUUUAAUCUAUUGUUAGGUUUUAAUUUUUGAUUAUAGGGCAUAUUUGUUUUGUUGGGGUGACAAAAGAUAUAUAUUUAACUUUUAUAUUUAUAUCACAUUAAUUUAUGUUUAUUAGAUCCUUUAUUAUUGAUUUUUAGACUAAGUUACCUUAGGGAUAACAGCGUAAUCCCCUUUUGGAGUUCUGAUUUACAAGGGGGCUUGCGACCUCGAUGUUGGAUUAAGAUAAUGGUUGGGUGUAGUCGCUUGAUUUAUGGGUCUGUUCGACCUUUAAUUUCUUACAUGAUCUGAGUUCAGACCGG
rnacentral:rRNA from 1 species